UUUUUGAAAAUAAUUUAAAGUCUAAUCUGCCCACUGAUUUUAAAUUAAAGGGCUGCAGUAUUUUGACUGUACAAAGGUAGCAUAAUCAAUAGUCUCUUAAUUGGUGACUUGUAUGAAAGAUUUGAUGAAAUAUAAACUGUCUCUAUUAAAUUUAUAAAAUUUAAUUUUUUAGUUAAAAAGCUAAAAUAUAUUUAAAAGACGAGAAGACCCUAUAGAGUUUUAUAAUUCAUUUAUUUUUAUUUUUGUUUAAAUAUUAAAAUUAAAAAUAAAUGAAUUAUUUUAUUGGGGUGAUAGAAAAAUUAAAUAAACUUUUUUUAAAAUUUUUACAUUAAUAUAUGAUUAUAUGAUCCGUAAAUUACGAUUAAAAGAUUAAAUUACCUUAGGGAUAACAGCGUAAUUUUUUUUUUUAGUUCAAAUAAGAAAAAGAGUUUGCGACCUCGAUGUUGGAUUAAGAUAAAAUUUAAAAUGCAAAAGUUUAAAAUUUUUGAUCUGUUCGAUCAUUAAAAUCUUACA
rnacentral:rRNA from 1 species